AGAUUGAACGCUGGCGGCAUGCCUUACGCAUGCAAGUCGAACGGCAGCACGGGAGCAAUCCUGGUGGCGAGUGGCGAACGGGUGAGUAAUACAUCGGAACGUGCCCAAUCGUGGGGGAUAACGCAGCGAAAGCUGUGCUAAUACCGCAUAAGAUCUACGGAUGAAAGCAGGGGAUCGCAAGACCUUGCGCGAAUGGAGCGGCCGAUGGCAGAUUAGGUAGUUGGUGAGGUAAAGGCUCACCAAGCCUUCGAUCUGUAGCUGGUCUGAGAGGACGACCAGCCACACUGGGACUGAGACACGGCCCAGACUCUACGGAGGCAGCAGUGGGAAUUUUGGACAAUGGGCGAAAGCCUGAUCCAGCCAGUGCCGCGUGCAGGAUGAAGGCCUUGGUGUAAACUGCUUUUGUACGUAACGAAAGUCUCUUUACUAAUAAAGAGGAUCAUAGACGUACCGUAAGAAUAAGCGACCGCUAACUACGUACG
rnacentral:rRNA from 1 species